rnacentral:lncRNA from 1 species
UGGGCCCAAGGUCAUUCUACCAACGACCUUGUCGAGAUUGGGACCUCAGUUCAGCACUAUCGAGAGCUCGGAGAGAUCAUUGAGAGUUGGGGAGUCUUCUGCGUCGACGGAGGCCUGGUGUGCACGAAAAGUACCUUGGCCCAGGUGAGCGCGGUAUCGAUGAGGCAAGGUCGGUGGUGAUUCACUUGUGGUUGUUAGAGGUGAGGUAGGAAAGGGGAG